UACCUGCAGCUCAAGUGGUGAUCAUUAUUAUUGGGCCUAAAACGUCCGUAGCCGGUUUAGUAAAUGCCUGGGUAAAUCGUGUAGCUUAACUAUACGAAUUCCGGGUAGACUGCCAAACUUGAGACCGGGAGAGGCUAGAGGUACUCCAGGGGUAGAGGUGAAAUUCUGUAAUCCUAGGGGGACCACCAGUGGCGAAGGCGUCUAGCUAGAACGGGUCUGACGGUGAGGGACGAAGCCCUGGGGCACAAACCGGAUUAGAUACCCGGGUAGUCCAGGGUGUAAACGCUGCUUGCUUGAUGUUAGUUGGGCUCCGAGCCCAACUAGUGUCGGAGAGAAGUUGUUAAGCAAGCUGCCUGGGAAGUACGGUCGCAAGGCUGAAACUUAAAGGAAUUGGCGGGGGAGCACAGCAACGGGUGGAGCGUGCGGUUU
rnacentral:rRNA from 1 species